rnacentral:rRNA from 2 species
GGAAUACCCGCUGAACUUAAGCAUAUCAAUAAGCGGA